rnacentral:rRNA from 1 species
UACGAAGGGUGCAAACGUUGCUCGGAAUCAUUGGGCGUAAAGCGCACGUAGGCGGCCUUGCAAGUCGGAUGUGAAAUCCCACGGCUCAACCGUGGACGUGCAUCCGAAACUGCUCGGCUCGAGUAUGGAAGAGGGUCGCGGAAUUUCCGGUGUAGAGGUGAAAUUCGUAGAUAUCGGGAGGAACACCAGUGGCGAAGGCGGCGACCUGGGCCAAUACUGACGCUGAGGUGCGAAAGCGUGGGGAGCAAACAGG